UUCUUCGAAUUUUCCUUUAUAUUCUGAAUUUUAAUUUUUUAAGGAAAAUUUGCAGUCAUCUCUCUGUGGGAGGUUUAAGAUCGAGAAGUUGGAUUGGAAUCAGUCGGAUUUCUAGGGUUUUGAUAUCGGAAUUGGGGGUUUUUUUUAGCGAUCUGAUUGACGGUCUGGAUUGAUCGGCAUCGAAUAACGGACGAGUUUUUUUGAAUUUUGAGAUUUGGGAUUCUAGGGUUUGUGGAGUUUCCUUCGAAAUUGGGGGAAACGAUGAACGAUCAGUCAAAGCUGAUGAAUCAAGCGCCACCGAUGAUGAGUUUGACCCAAGCUCAAGUGAUGAACCAGCCGCUGCCACAGAUGAUGAGUCAGCCGCAGCCGCAGAUGAUGGCACCGUCGUCGCAGGCCAUGGCGGUUCAGCAGCAACAGCAGCAGCAAUCUCAGUUGAUGAUGAUGAAGAGUCAGUCUCAGCCGAUGAUGAUGAAUCGGAACUACAAGGCUUGGCCACAGCCGCAGCCUCAAUUCGCUGCCCAAAAGCCGCCGCCGUCUAAUCCUGGGCGUAACAAUUGGAAAGGCAAGAAGGGUGGAGAUAAGAGGAGGAUGGACAAGAGUGUCCCCAGUUUGUCGCUGAGUGGUCAGACCAGCGGAGGAGGAGGGUACAUACCGCCGACGCUUCACGAGUUACAGUCUCAGAAUCGAAUGAAAGCCCGGAAAUUUUACCCGAAAAAGAAGUUUAACAAUAGGUUUGCGCCUUACGCCCCAAGGAACACGACGUCGUUUAUUAUUAGAGCGAAGAAGGCCGGCGGCAUAGCCUCGCUGGUUUCACCUUGUGCCGUAACUCCGGCUGUUCUGCCCACGCCAAUGUUCUCGCCCUCGAGGGAGGUCUUGGGAGAUAUGGCGAAAGAGGAGUGGGGUAUUGAUGGGUAUGGGUCAAUGAAAGGAUUGAUUCGGCUUCGGUCACCUGGAAAUGAUGACGAGGAGGGUGGUGGCGGAUCGAGUGAGAGCGAUGUGGAGGAGCAUGUGGAGGUGGAGAGGAGGUUGGACCAUGACUUGAGUCGAUUCGAGAUGGUGUACCCGAACUACAGCGGGGUUGAGUAUAACAAUGCUUUGGAGAAUAGGGUGGAUGAUCAGGAUACUCAUAUUGCUCAAUUAGAGGAAGAGAAUCUGACCUUGAAGGAGAGGCUUUUCUUGAUGGAGAGGGAGUUGGCGGAUUUGAGAAGGAGGAUGCAGUUCAUUGAGAGGAGGUACCAUGUGAUGGGGGAGGUCAAUGAAGAGGUGGUGGAAAAUGGAUCUGAAAAUGAUAGUGAUGGAGGGUCGGAUGCCCCUCAUAUGGGUACCGACGGGUGAGAGCAAUCCUGAGAUGGUAGAGUAUGUGUCGAGAGAUGGAGGAAGCAGAAGUGUUGGCCCAUUGGUCGAGGAUGAAAUUGUUAGGGAUGUUGAUGUAGGGAUGGAAGAAUAUGUGCCCGAUGAAAUGAUUUUGAAGGUAAAUGAAGCGAAUGAUGAAACACGAAAUGAGUUUGUAGGUAACAAAGAGGUUGAGGAAUUUAAGAGUGAGCUUACCCCAGAAGAACUAAUUGGAAAUAAAAAUGAGGUUGAAGAUAAGAAAGUGAAGGAUGAAGUCGAGUCAAGAAUGUGACUGAGUUAGUGCAGGGUGAGCUGAAUACAAAAGGAUGAUCUGAAUGCAAAGAAGGAUGAGGAGAUGGGAAUUGCGUGCCCGGAGAAGAGCAUUGGCGACGGUGACUAAUCUGUCCCGCGUUAAUGGGAUGAAUUAGCGCGUUGGAAAUUCAAAAGUUCCACGCGUGGAUGUCAAAAACCAGUACAAGUGGGAGUCCACGAGGAACAAGACUUGACUGGAGGUUGACUAAGCUGCUUCAUCUUUGUUUCAUUCGGUUGAUGCAUCACUACAUAACCAUCCUGGGGAGCCUUUUGGGAAUGUUUUUGCAGACGAGAAGAUGGCUGCUCGGAGCAUAGCUCUUCCUUGUUCGAACAUUAAUUUUUUCACGAAUAUUACUCGAGUAACUUCUGGUUGAGGUUCAUCUGUCUUAUUGAUGGUAAAGCCCAUUUGCUUCAGUCUGAAGCCGACGGACCAAGUAUCCUGAAUCACUUAUUUCAAAUCUCAUUGCCCCAAUUAAUCCAACUCACUGGCUCAUGUUUUUUAAGAAAAAUGCAAUAUUUUUUAUUUUUGCAAAAUAGUUUUCAUCAUGAUUAAGAAAAACUUUAUAAGAAUUUGAAAGUUGUUUUACCA